GACAGAGGAUGCAAGCGUUAUCCGGAAUGAUUGGGCGUAAAGCGUCUGUAGGUGGCUUUUUAAGUCCGCCGUCAAAUCCCAGGGCUCAACCCUGGACAGGCGGUGGAAACUACCAAGCUGGAGUACGGUAGGGGCAGAGGGAAUUUCCGGUGGAGCGGUGAAAUGCGUAGAGAUCGGAAGGAACACCGGUGGCGAAAGCGGCGCGCUGGAUCCCUACUGACGCUGAGGCACGAAAGCCAGGGGAGCAAACGGG
rnacentral:rRNA from 1 species